AUGGAUCCCCUGCACUUCCUGAUCCCAAUCCGAGCUGCCCGCUGCCCGUUUCCAGUUCGAUCUGUUCAUGUUCUGAGCUCCUACAGGGAGAUGGAUCUGAAUUGGAGUAGAAUCAUGAAGCUGAAAAACAGUUUUAGGGAGGCCGAUCCGGUCACGGUGCAGAGGGGCUAUGGUUUCAGGCCAAACCAACCAGCUGUUGUUCAUCAGACAAGAUGCAGAUGGAUCAUUGGAGAUGUGACCGAGGUGUUUGAUCAUAACACAUGGAAGCUUGGCAAGAUUGCAAAGAUUGUGAAGAAUGAUUACUUUGUCAUCAGGCUCGCCGACUGCAUCCAGUUGAAAGAGUUCCACAUUUCUAGCUUGAGGGUUCCACAACCACAAGAUGCUCCCACAGCUCCUCCUUAUGGCAAGCAGUUCCCUGCAGCUGAUAACAAGGUGACCCGAAGGGGCAAGCAGCUGCCUGCUGAUGUGCUGAGAAGAUCAGGCAAGAAGAGGAAAUCGUCCGAAGUUCUUGAUUUCUCUCCUCAGCCAAGCCAGAGGAGACUCUUCCAGGUGGCCAGGGAAGAGGCCGCCGCCGCGGAGUGCUCGGUGGCGAGCUGCAGCUCCGCGAACGACGACGCUGGCGGCGUCGGCGUCGGCAGCGGCCGGCACGGGGGCUGCUGCUCCGUGGGGCGCGGCGACGCCCAGUCGCGCGUGGUGGCCGCCUCCCCGCGCGCCGCGUGGUCGUCGUCGGACUCGGACGGCGCGCUGAGCGACGGCGGGCCGGCGGGCGUGGACGUGCACGAGCUGGAGCUGGAGGCGUACCGGUCGACGGUGCGCGCGCUGCACGCGUCCGGGCCGCUGACGUGGGAGCAGGAGUCGCUGCUCACCAACCUGCGCCUCUCCCUCAACAUCUCCAACGAGGAGCACCUCCUCCAGCUCCGCCGCCUGCUCUCCUCCUGA
rnacentral:rRNA from 1 species